ensembl:lncRNA
CCAGGCAGUCUGUACCGCUUCUCUCUGAGGACAGAGAAAGAGUCUUUCACAGACAGUUCCCCUGUUACAGUCAACAUCACCACAGCUCCCAGUCCAGUGAAGGUGUCUGUUCUCAAUAAAACCACCACAUCUGUGACAGUCGGCUGGAGAAAGGUUAGGGGCGUUGCAAAAGGCUUCAUUCUUUCAAUCACGAACCAAACCUCCAGUCAGCAGCUGAAUCUCUCAGUCCAAGAGCCGUGGUCCUACAGGUUUGAGGACCUAUCUCCAGGAGGCUAUUACACAGUUGAUGUUAUCAGCAGCAAUGGAGAGAGGAGGAGUACACCUACUUCUAUACGCAUCAACACCAUCCCGGGAGCACCACAGGAAGUGUUGCAGUUGGAAGAGGAUUGGACCUCAUCUGUGUUUGUCAGCUGGGGAGCCCCAGUAGGGGGCGUGGAGGGGUACAAGCUACUGUUGUGUCAGUCAGGGGAGAAGUUGUCGUGUCGUGCAAUGUUG